AGAGAGAGACAUGCGCGCAUAUCAAUAAGCGGAGGAAAAGAAACUAACAAGGAUUCCCUUAGUAACGGCGAGUGAAGCGGGAAGAGCUCAAAUUUGAAAUCUUCAAGGUUUUACCUUGACGAAUUGUAGUUUAAAGAAGUGUUUUCUGCUGAAGUUUUGGUAAAAGUUCUUUGGAAUAGGACAUCAUAGAGGGUGAGAAUCCCGUAUUUGACCAUUAUUUUCAGCUUUGUGAUACACUUUCAAAGAGUCGGAUUGUUUGGGAAUGCAGUCCAAAAUGGGUGGUAAAUUUCAUCUAAAGCUAAAUAUUGGCGAGAGACCGAUAGCGAACAAGUACCGUGAGGGAAAGAUGAAAAGAACUUUGAAAAGAGAGUUAAACAGUACGUGAAAUUGUCAAAAGGGAAGCGUUUGACACCAGUGUUGUUUUCUCGAAAAUCAAUUAAAAAUGGCUCGAUUUUGUAUUGCUUGAGACCUUAAAAGCUCACUGUACAUUUUUCGUGUCUUUUUUAAUGCACUUUUCGUUUAACAAGUCAACAUCAGUUUCUUUUGUUGUAAAAGGGUCAUUGGAAGGUGGCUUUCUUUUCGGAGAAAGUGUUUAUAGCCUUUGGCCUCUGCAAUUGGAGAGACUGAGGUCUGCAGCGUAGACUCUUCGGGGUUAGAUACAUUUGUGCUAAGUUAUAGCUUUUUAUAGACAACUUGUUGACUAUAAUUAGUCUUGUAGCUUACUCGCUUAUGCUAUUUUACCUACGCUUAGGAUGUUGAAGUCAUCGUAUCGCGC
rnacentral:rRNA from 1 species